ACAUCCACACUCAAAUUCAACAAAAAACCAAAAAAAACAAAAAAAAACAGUCAUAAAAGGACCCAAAAAAUACAAAUAAAAAGGGCCCUCGUUUACACC
rnacentral:ribozyme from 1 species